AUGGAUGGGUCGUUGGGUGGAUGGGCCAAGAGACGGAUGAAUAGAUGGAUAAUUAAGCAAUGAAUGGGUCAAUGAGCCAGUGGAGGGGUGGAUGACUGGAAUGAAGCAUAGAAGUCUAGAUGGAGAGAUGGAUUGAAGGUUUGGUGGGUGAAGGAAUGGAUGAGUCCUUUCUGAUCUAACUCUAGUUGCACAAGGGACUUUCUCAGUCAUCCAACACCCAUCCCAUGCUGAGGCUCAGCUCUGUUCUGGGGAUUGUCAGAAUUACCUCAUGGAGCCAGAGUCCCCGCUACUAUGCCAGCCACCCUGGGGCAGGCAGAAGAGGAUUCCAACAAGAGAAGCUGGAGGGAGAACCCUGGGCUGGAGGAAGGAAGCCUGGGGAUAUCUCCAGCCUUGAUACUGCCCUGACAUACAUCCCUGGAGGGCACUGCCAUCUUGGGGACUCUGCCACAGGUGGGCAAUCGGACAGGUGUGAAGGCCCAGGCAGAUGCAGGUGGAGCCCUGGAGGCCCCUCUCCAGCCCCCAGUGCUGCUCCUCGGAAGUGGGAGUGGGCAGUGUCCCCAGACACACUGGCUGGGACCAGCUCCAGGGGCUUGUCCAGCUUCAGGACUAAGAUUCCGGCCAAGAAAGCCAACUCACCACAGCCUGCAUGCAAAGGCAGAGAGAAGACGCUUGGUUGGGCCAAAUGUAUCCCCUUGAAAGUGCGCUGGGCCAAGGUCAAGGCCUCCUCAGGACCCACGUUCCCAUCUCCAGUCCGAGCCUAUUUUGGACGCCAAUGGAGGCAGCGUGCAGGCCCUGGACCUUGUCAAUCUGCGGGAACAUUCGGAGCCUGAGCCCCAGCGUUCCCACGCCACGUCAGCUGCCAAGGAGGGGCCCCGACGGCAGUGUCCCCGCCUGUCCCAGACCACCCGCCCGCAAAGGUCCGAGUCUCCCAUUGCACGACUUGGCAAACCAAGCCCACCAAAGACCCUCACGGCCGCCCAGUCCCAGAGCACGGGGUCUGGGUGGGGGGCGCACUGUUUCCUGGGCUCCUCACAGGCCCCCCUCCCCUUGUGGUGUGGGGUGGGGCUGCCAGCCCACCAAGGCAGAGGGCGCAGAGCCUCUGCGGGCUGUUCGUCAGGAAGCUCCACUGCUUCUGGAAGCCUCCCUCGAGGGCUGGGGUGGCACAGCUGGGGCAGGAGGCGAGCCUGGGAGGGGCCCCCUUUGUGCCCACACCUGCACUCUGUCCCCUCUGGGCCUCCCGCUUGGCCCAACCAGGGGCCUGAAAUUCCUGUGACCCCAAUUUCCCAAAUCGUCUCUCCACCCGGCUGGCCCCCUCACUCUGACCAUCCUGCACCCCCACGCCGACCCUCCGACCCUCCAUUCCCACUGCCUCCUCACUGGUCCCUGGUCAGCCCUGGGUCAUCCGGCUUUGAACUUGAACUCUGGGAAGCCCAUCUCUGCUCCAGCUUCUUGUUUCCCAGCCUCCAGCACAGUCAGCAUGGCUGGGCCCAGGGGCCUCUCUGCCCUCCUGUCUUUUCUCCCUUCCUGGGAAGGAUUGGGGGACCCCCUGCCCCAGGCUCCCGAGGAGCCAGCAGCCUGAAAAGACCCCCCUCAGAGGUUUUGUGUAACUGUGUGGGACCCCCCCAGCACCCGCUCAGGACAGAGCCCACUGCUCUUGAUGGUCUGGCAAUUUCCUUCCCACCACAGAGGCGGAAAGCCCUCCCACCCGAGGGAGCAGACCCCCAUCUGCCCCACACAGUAUGGGGGUGUCUGGAAGGUCCCUGCUCCCCCAACCACUGCCCCCCAGAGGAAGGAUGUGCCAUCUGCCACAUGCAGCAAGAGCAGCCCCUGGCCCACCCUCUAGACAAAACCCACGCAAGCCCAAGGGCCCAGAAAAUAAAGCCCAAUCUUUACCAAGGA